UACGAACGGUGCGAGUGUUGUUCGGAAUCACUGGGCGUAAAGGGCGCGUAGGCGGGCUGUCAAGUCUGGGGUGAAAUGCCGCGGCUCAACCGUGGAACUGCCUUAGAUACUGACGGCCUCGAGGAAGGUAGGGGCAUGCGGAACUCUAGGUGUAGCGGUGAAAUGCGUUGAUAUCUACAGGAACUCCGGUGGCGAAAGCGGCGUGCUGGACCUUUUCUGACGCUGAGGCGCGAAAGCUAGGGGAGCAAACGGG
rnacentral:rRNA from 1 species